CAGGAAAAGGAUUUAAGUCCUACCUUAAGUUUAUUCGUAACUCUAAUUACUUCACAAAACUUAAGAGCUAUUCAAAUAAGGUACAGCCUAUUUGAAACAGGAUACAACCUACAACACUGGGUAAUGAAUUCUGCUUAAUAAUUAAGUGGGCCUAAGAGCAGCCACCUUUAAAAAAGCGUUAAAGCUUUAUUAUACUAGCACAAUAAUUACAUUAAUACCCCAAAACCCUUAUCCCAUACUGAGUGACUUCAUAAUAUUAUGAAAAACCAUAUGCUAGAACUAGUAACAAGAAGAAGACCUUCUCCAAAAUGUACGUAUAGGCCAAAAUGAACAACUCAUUGGCAUUUACCGCUUAUGAACUAACAGUAGUAACUCAACAAGAAAACUCUACUAUCCAUAACGUUAACCUUACACUAGCACAUUCCCGGAAAGAUUAAAAGGAAGGGAAGGAACUCGGCAAAUAAUAACCUCGCCUGUUUACCAAAAACAUCGCCUCCUGAACAAUCAUAGGAGGUCCAGCCUGCCCAGUGACAAAGUUAAACGGCCGCGGUACCCUAACCGUGCAAAGGUAGCGCAAUCACUUGUUCUUUAAAUAAGGACUAGUAUGAAUGGCAUCACGAGGGUUAUACUGUCUCCCCCACCUAAUCAGUGAAACUGAUCUUCCCGUGAAGAAGCGGGAAUAGAAUUAUAAGACGAGAAGACCCCAUGGAGCUUUAAACUCAACAUCAACUGCCCCCUAAAUAGCUUAUUAACCACGCAGAUCUGACAGUUAGUUUUCGGUUGGGGUGACCGCGGAGUAAAACAAAACCUCCACGAUGAAAGGAAUUAACCUCCUAAUCCAAGAGCUACAGCUCUAAGAAUCAACAAAUUGACAAAACUUGAUCCAAAUAUUUUGAUCAACGAACCAAGUUACCCUGGGGAUAACAGCGCAAUCCAUUUCAAGAGCUCAUAUCGACAAAUGGGUUUACGACCUCGAUGUUGGAUCAGGGUAUCCCAGUGGCGCAGCCGCUA
rnacentral:rRNA from 1 species